UUGGAAACAGGCUCGUUGCAGAUGUAAUUAGUUAAGUUAAGAUGAGGUCGUACUGGAGUAGCGUGGGCCCCUAAUCCAACAGGACUGUGUCUUUAUAAAAAGGGGAACUCUGGACACAGACACAGAGGGAGAACACCACGUGAAGAUGGGAGUGAUGCUGCCAGAAGCCAAGGAAGUACCAGAAGCUGGGAGAGAGGCCUGGAACACAGCCUUCCCUGGAGCCAUCAGAGGGAGCGUGGCCUGGCUGACACCUUGAUCUUGGACUUUCCAGCCUCCAGAACCGGGAGAGAAUAAAUGUCUGCUGUCUAAACCACCCACUUUGUGGUACUCGGUGGGGGCAGCCGGAGGAAACUAAUUCAGCCACCAACCACCUCGGCUGCCUUGAAGGUGACUCCUCUUGCUGCCAUUAUAGAUUGCUAGGAAGUCUGGGGUUUUGUGACCAUAACUUCCCUCAGCCAAGACUUCCUGAUGAGAAAACUGAGGCACAGAGACCACACAGAGGUAAGUGAAAGAGCUGGGAUUUGAACCCAGGUAUUGUGGCUCCUGAUCCAGGUGCCCAAGUUGGGGUGCAGCAGCGAGGCCCAUUAGCACGAGUCACGUGUGCACAGAGCCCGGAGAGAGCACUCAAUGAUUCUUUGCUUUUGCUGUCAGUUCCUCUUUCAGGUCACAUAGAGGCCCCUCAGAUGGGCAUCCUGGAGCCCCAUGUUCUCUGGAGUCUCUUUCCUUCUCUUCUCCUCUUUCCUUAUCUUGAAACCUGCCCUUCGGGAUGCAGGCUCCACUGCAUGAUCCCUGCGUCCCAUCCCGCUGCAGCAUUGUUAGAUGUCCUGGUUUCUUCCUGGUGGAGCUUGUACACAACAAACAUGUCUUCUUUUGUUAACAUUGACCUCUUAUCAGAGCAGAACUCCCAGGCUUUACUGGGUUAGCAGUGUGGAGCUUUACUCCAUUUUGCUAAGGAAUCUGUCCCCUGAGUUGAGAAGUAAAUGAGGUGGGAAGGAGAAGGAAUCUUCUACUCUUUCAUGCUAAUAACGACAGCUCGUAUUUAUUGAGCAUCGACCACAAAGCAGGCCCUGCGCCAAGUGCCUCAUCUUACAACCUUGUGAUGGGGGAUUCUUGUCCUCAUUUUCCAGGGAAAGAAGUUGAGAUGGAAAAGGGUAAGUCACUUGCCCAAGGCCUCACGGCUAUUGAGUGGCAGAGCCGAGGCUUGAACCCGGGUCUUUCUGGGCUCACAUAAAGAAAAGCAGCCAAGUCAUUUUUUAAGAGCAAGGAGGCGGUGAGGGAGGCUUCCCCACAGCUGUCAUCCCUGCGUCAUCACCUGUGUCUUAGAAGCUUUCCACGCAGGUCCCAGCCACUCUCUCCUGCAGGCUCAGCCCUGCCCCAGCUACCACCCAGGGCUGGAUGAGGCGGCCAGCGUUCUCCUGCCUCAGCCUCUCAUCCAGGGAAAUGUGUGCGGUUGCCCUUGGGUCUGCCCUUGGUGACUGUCAAGUGUCUGUGGCUACACCCUGACCAGCGGGCAGGUCUCAUGCCAGGAAGAUGUUCUGCCACCCUCUUCAGGAGCCCUGAGCUGUGGGGAGGAGGCACCACGCCCAGUCCCCAAGGUCACACCAGGCCAGGCCAAACACGAGGCCAGGCCCAGCACGACUGUUUUCAGGGAUCCUGGCCGAGACCCUCCCAAGCCCCCCACUCAUCACUGGAGAGUCUUUUGGAGCUGCCCCCACCUUUGGAGUUCAAGAGUGAUGGAGGGACUAGGGAGGAACCCCCAUUCAGGGAUCUGGGGGUCUGGACUAGAUGUAGGAGGAGUCCAGAGGUUCCCUUUGGACACUGACCAGGGCCCCUGCUGAUGCGUGGCUCUAUCUGGCUUGCUCAGUGGCUCUCAGCACCUACACGUGGGCACGCUUAGGCUUCUCCCACACAGACAGUGGGCAGGAGCCCCGAGCGGGGAAGACAAUGUGAUCAGGACAAUCCUAUGAUGCAGCGAAGCUGUCAGAUUCCCACCCAAGCCCCCUUAGCACACGCGCUCCAGUCCCUGCCAACAGGACUGCCAGCACUGCAACUCCCUGCCUGGGACAGAAGGGCAGGGCAGUUAGUGCCCCACCUCCAGCAGCCCUCAGCCAAUGACGGAUGGAGCUAGAGUUUAGUAGCCCAGCUUCCUCAACCUCCUAGUAGGAUAAUUCUAUGAUGUGUGCUACACACUUGCUGCUCAAAGCAUGGUCCAAGGGCCAGCAGCAUCAACAUCACUGGCAGCUUAUUAGAAAUGCAGAAUCUUUGAGGCUAGCCUGCUGGCGUAGUAGUUAAGUUAGCACACCCCACUUUGGCAGCCUGGGGUUUGUGGGUUCAAAUCCGUGUGUGGACCUACAUGCCACUCAUCAAGCCAUGCUCUGGUGGCGUCCCACAUACAAAAUGAAGGAAGAUUGCCACAGGUGUUAGCUCAGGGACAGUCUUCCUCACCAAAAAAAAAAACAAAGAAAAGAAAAGAAAUGCAGAAUCUUGGGCCCCACCUGAACUUCUGCAUCAGAUUCUGCAUUUUAACAGGAUCCCAGAUUUGUGGAUGUGUUAAAGUUUGAGAAGCACCAUCCAAUGAUGUUUCCCUAAGGUCCCCAGAGGGAUGAAAUCCAGGUUGCCCAUCGAAGUAACCUGCUCCAUACCAUUCUUUUACAGGCUUCCUACACGUUCAUUCUCAUUCACGCUACCCCUCACUGCUUCCUGGAAUCCUCUCCCAAGAAAACUCCAUCAUCUCUGGGUCUGCUCUGAGGAGAACCACCUAAGACCCAUGGCCUCUUUGGGAUAAAAUAAUGGAUCUGCUGCAAAAGCCCAGUCCACCUUUCUAAGCUGUGCAAUGCUGGGCAAGGGAAAUGGGAAGAGACUAAUACUUAGUUCUCAGAAUUCCUUUGAGAAUUAAAUGAGGUAGUUCUUAUACAGUUUGCACAGUGGCUAGCAAAGAGUAGCCCUUCCAUAGAUGUUGGCUAUUAUUACUCUCCUGCUGCUUCUUCUGAAGCCUUCUCCGUCCCCUGUGCCCUGUGGGUAUCCAACAUCCAGAUCAUGCAGGAAUGGUGACGUGGAGCUUCAGAAAGGUGUCUGUACUUGCGAUGGGAGAAAAGGGCUUGAAUCUAGCUGGGCCACCAAUCAAGGAAACUGAAACUUGGUUUCCUUAUCUGUGAAAUGAGAAUGUAAAUAUCAACCUCACGGGGCUAUUGUGAAGAAGAAAUUAAACAAUGUGUAGACAGCACUUGGCAAUGAAUCUGGUGUGUGGUCGGCACUCAGCAAACGUUUGUUGAAGGAAAAGCAGGAGUGACAGGGUCCUGAAUGACCUGCUGGGGUUGUGGCAUCUCUCCCACUGCCCCCUGCAUGGGACUCCCCAGGGCCACCUUGGCCUAGGCAAGCAGGAGGAGUCAGUAGAUGGAAAGGCCUGGCCGCUUGCCACUCUUGAUGAGGCUCAACUCCUUGUUCCGUGCCCAGCCAGGAAACAGUAUUAUUCCAUGAGCCCAAACCCCUCAUUGGACGAGGCCAGCAAUAACCACUGGGAUGCCAUUGUUGUUUGUGAGAUGUCUGGGCAGGACUAAUAGGUGGGGUUGACCAGAAUGAGGGAUUGUAUUAUGAGCGAAGGCGUGUUCUCAAGGGAUCCCUCCUACUCCAAAGGAUGGAGGAAGAUGCUCCAUUGAAUGAGAGCGGAGACACAGACCUGCCGCCCCAGAAGUAGCUUUCAGUCUUGCAUCAGUGGGCAGGCCUCAGACUUGCCAAGAGAAGCCACUUUCUUGGAAGGGGCUGCAAAAUUGAAACAAGACCAGUCUGCUAGUUUAGGCUGCUUUAAUUUUACAAACGGUUUGUUAUUUGCUAGCUUAUUUGAUCCUCACAACCACCCCGUAAAACAGGCUGGGAAAUAGUAUCUCCUAUUGACAAUUGAGGGAAACUGAGGUCCAGAGAGGUAAUUAACCAGCUUCAGUCAGUUGCUAGCGGCUGACGCAGGAGUCGUCCCAUAUCGUGGGUCCCGGCCCUGUGAAUUCUCCAUCCCAGAAGAUGGACAAUUUAAAUGGCAGGAGAAGGAGAGCCUCUGCUUUAAUUUUUAAAGAUAUUUUAAAAGUAAAGGAAAAAAGUCUUUAUGAGGCUAGCCUGGUGGUGCAGUGGUUAAGUUCAUGGGCUCCACUUUGAUGGCCCAGGGUUCACAGGUUUGGAUCCCAGGCGCAGACCUAGCACCGCUCAUCAAGCCACGCUGUGGUGACAUCCCACAUAAAGUGCAGGAAGGUUGUCACAGAUGUUAGCUCAGCGACAGUCUUCCUCAAGCAAAAAGAAGAAGAUUGACAACAGAUGUUAGCUCAGGGCCAAUAUUCCUCACACGCACACAAAAAAAGUAAAGGAAAAAGUCUUUUAUAUUCACUCACAUUGAUACCAUUUUCAGUGCUCUUCACUCCUUUGUGUAAAUCCUUUGUGUAAAUAUAUAUAUCCAUCUAGUACCAUUUUUCUUCUGCACAAACGACUCCCUUUGACAUUUCUUGUAGUGCAGGUCUGCUGGGGACAAAUUCUUUCAGCUUUAGUAUGUCAGCUUUUGUUUAUUGAAAGAUAUUUCCAUUGGGUGUAGAAUUCUAGGUUGUCAGUUCUUUUUCUUUCAGUUUUUUUUUUUGAGGAGGAUUAGCCCUGAGCUAACUGCCACCAAUCCUCCUCUUUUUGCUGAAGAAGACUGGUCCUGAGCUAACAUCCAUGCCCAUCUUAUUCUACUUUAUAUGUGGGAUGCUUACGACAGCAUGGUGUGCCAAGCGAUGCCAUGUCCGCACCUGGGAUCCGAACCGGUGAACCCCGGGCUGCCAAAGCAGAACAUGCGAACUUAACUGCUGUGCCACCGGGCCGGCCCCUUCUUUCAAUAUUUUAAAGAUGUGUCUCCACUGUCCCCUGACUUACAUUAGUUCCAGUGAGAAAUCUGCUGUCAUCCUUAUCUUUGCUCCUCUGUAUGGAAUGCAUACUUUUUUUGCUUUUAACAUGUUCUCUUUAUCACUGCUUUUAAACAAUUCCAUUCUCGUUUAGUUUGGUGUCAUUUUCUUCAUGUUUCUUGUGCUUGGGAUUCACUGAGCUUCUUGGAUCCGUGAGUUUAUAGUUUUCUUCAAAUUCGGAAAAGUUUCAGCCAUCAUUUCUUCUGAUAUUUUUUCUGUUCCUCCCCACCCUCCCACGGGCACUCCAGCUACAUAUAUAUUAGACUGCCUGGGGUGCCUCCACAGCUCACUGAUGCUCUUCUCACUUUAUUUUCCCAGUCAUUUUUUAUCUGUUUCAUUUUGAAUAGUUU
ensembl:lncRNA